ensembl:lncRNA
GCGCUGCAUGUGUUGUUUUGUUUAUCGAAGUGAAGCGUGAAUGCAUCCUUAAAGCUGUGAUUAUAUACCUGAAUGAGAACCCUGAAAAUCUCAUCAAAGAGUACAUGGCUUUCAACGUGAUGGAAGCUGAAGAGCUCGAGAGGAUGGAUUUGGGUGUUUAUAAAAUAAUCCAUGAAGGAGCACAGCCUGAUGACUCCCUUGAAGAUGUUGGCAUCAUUAUCGAGAGAUGCACCGUCUUGCAGGAUCUUCACGAUGUGGCGAGCGGGUGUGCACUUUUGUUUGGGCUAAUUUACUGCCUCAAUCUGAGUUACCCAAAGCCACUUCGCUACACAUUUGAGUUCUUCCAGAAGGUGCUCAUGGGACUGGAAGACAAAAAACUGUCUAACAAAAUACAAGUGCUGAAGAACAAACUCUGCCAAAAGGAGACGCAAUGACUCUUCUAGAUCAAAAUGUCCCCCAAAAUAAGUGCUCUGUUUCACUGUUUAAAAGUUUAUAAAUUGUAUAUAUGUUGAUCCUUGUUUGUAAAUAUUUUGUCAUAGCUUUUAAUAUUUAAGAGAUUUACUGAAUGCUUUUUUUUCUUUUUUUUUCUUUUUUUUGAUUGUGGAAAAGAAAACAUAAUUCAGAAACUGAGUUUUUUGAACUGGGGACAAAAUUACCCAGAUGGAUUGUUUCACAACAUUUUCUUUAGUUUGAGUUGCUGUGGUAAUUCUGCAGACUGUAGCCAUUGCAGACCUACAACUGUACUACACUGCACUGUCACUUAGUUGAAACUGGAAAGUUGUUUCAGAUGUUUACAUUUUAUUUUACACACCAUUUAAUGUUGCAUUAUGCAGUGUUGUUUCCCUGUUUAAGCUUUGCCUCAUUGAAGGCUUUUGUUCAAGUUGUUAAAGCAACACAAUUUAUUUUGUAUUUACACUUCAUAUUAGUUCUCGUGUACCAGGUUUCCAUUGCAGGUCAAAGAUCUUGAGUGUUAUAAAUGUUAAAGUGUAUGUGCAAACAAAUGUGAAAAGGUUCUAAGGUUGUCACCUGUACUCAAGUUAAGUACUGGAUUUUUGGUCUUAGCAUUUAAUUAAGAAUAUUUUGAGAUUUGCUAUACGCAUUUUUUAUUGUAAAAUUUAUUAUAUAAUAGAAAACUUAAAAUUCUGAAUCAGAUUUUUGUAACUGGGGACUAAAUCGUUUUUACCUUUUUGUGUCACUUAAAUAUUUU